UUUUAGAAAUCCAGUAAGAAGCCACCAUCUUCCUCUUUGAAAAUGAGCCUUUAUUUCCAAGUUACACUUGCAUAGAAGAAUAUGCUUAAGGAGACUAACAAGGAGAGGGGGCAAGAAUGUUUAAGUGCCUGUCUGACAUGGUAGAAAAAAGCCCAGUGUGUUUACCCCAGCAUCUUGUCAAACACAUGAGCAAAGCAAUGCUCUUGUAUUACAAUGGCUACAACAUCACCAGGUGG